rnacentral:rRNA from 1 species
AGGGCACCACCAGGAGUGGAGCCUGCGGCUUAAUUUGACUCAACACGGGGAAACCCACCCGGCCCGGACACCGGAAGGAUUGACAGAUUGAUAGCUCCUUCUUGAUUCGGUGGAUGGUGGUGCAUGGCCGUUCUUAGUUGGUGGAGCGAUCUGUCUGGUUAAUUCCGAUAACGAACGAGACUCUAGCCUAUUAAAUAGACGUCGGGUUCUCUGCACUCGACGGUCUUCUUAGAGGGACAAGGUGCUUUUAGCACCGCGAAACAGAGCAAUAACAGGUCUGUGAUGCCCUUAGAUGUCCGGGGCCGCACGCGCGCUACACUGAAGGAAGCAGCGUGUAACAACCUUGUUCUAACGAACUGGGUAACCCGUGGAACUUCCUUCAUGAUUGGGAUAGGGGUUUGCAAUUGUGCCCCUUGAACGAGGAAUUCCCAGUAAACACUAGUCAUCAGCUAGUGCUGAUUACGUCCCUGCCCUUUGUACACACCGCCCGUCGCUACUACCGAUUGAAUGGUUUAGUGA